GGACAACAGAUGCAAAUGAGGAAUCUUCACGAUCACAUGCCAUUCUUCGUUCAUAAAUCUUGCAGGAAAUGAAAGAGGUGCAGAUACAACUGAUAAUGAUAAGAAAACAAGGCUUGGCCUGUGCGUACUCCAAGGCCUGUUGCUUUCAAGCUUGUUGCUGAUACCCCUCUUCUUACUGGACAGCAAACAAUCUUUCUUUUCUUUCUAGACAUGAUUAAAGGCAUGUUUUUGGCUGUAGUUAUUGGACCACCUGUUGUGGUUGCCAUCAUUUUAAUAGUACAGUAAGGAGAGCAUUCUAAACAUUCUGGAAACUUUAAAAGAAGAGGGAAAUAGGGUCUUGUUCAAUGCUUUAGCUGUGUUUGCUCUAAGGGAGAUCAACUUAUCACAAGUAAGUUACUGUUUCACCCUUUUAUUUAAUAUUUUUGUGAUUGAAUGAAAGUCUUAAUGAAAGUAAUUGACAACCUUUCUCUGUAAAUGAUGUUGUGAUUGUGGGAGAGGUGUUGU